GAGCAAAGACUGAAAGAGGAUCGAACCCUGAAAUCUGCUGUUACCUGAAGCUUCACCACAUCUGGUUCGUCGUGUUCACCCUCCAGAAUCCACCUUCAGCUCACAGAUCCUGAUUUCCUCAGCCAGGACUGCUGCUGAUUUCUGGAUCUCCAGACUCAGAGAAAGACAGAUUUUACUGCUGUCAGCGUCUCAGCAGCAACAGCUCCACCAGCCUCUGCUUCAUUCAGCAGCAGGAAGAUGGAGAACGAGCAUCUUGGCCGGGGUUUGGUGUCAGAAACAUCUGGACAGACAGAUUCUUUCCUCACCGCCGCCCGGCUGCUCCGAGGAGGUUGGCUGGAGGAAGAGACGACAGCAAGGAAGCCAUUUUCAAACGGGGAAGAGCGUCAAAAACCUUCCAGUUCAGACAGAAUUCAGGUUCUACAUGGAGCCAAGCUUUGCCUCAAGGACCUUCGAACCAGGAGGGAUCUAGUCCUGACCAGCAGGAUGACUGAGGAGAGGGAGACGGGCUCUGAAACCAAGACAGACGAAGCAAAGCAGACAGCUAAAGGAACAGAAAGACAGACGACUGUGGUGAAGGUCUGGACAUCCGGCUGUCGCGUCACAUGCAGACAGUCCAGAAGAUUUAAGUCCUCAGUACUACCAGCCAUCGCUGAGAUAUAAGCCGUUUUUAAAUGAGAUAUAAGCUGUUUUUAAAUGAGAUAUAAGCCGUUUCAUGUGGUUAAAUGUUCAGAUGUGUAAAUUUUGCUCAUUAAAAUGCAAAUAUGUGCAAAUGUAACCAUGCCUUAGUUUCCAGUUCUUAACAAAAUGUUUAAUCUUUGUUGAGGACAUGGUUUUAUUUUAUUAAACUAUGGACAGAAAUACGUGCCACUUAUGUCUGAAUACUAAAAGAGCAGUCCAGAGAAACUAAAUGCAGCUGAAUCAUCCCAAGAAAGCACAUAAAUCCUCAUACUUGAUUUAUAGAAUGAGGUUGCUCAAAUUUACUUCUAAGCUUCUUAAACCUAAAUGAUGCCGAGUCACAAACCCAGCAGAUAACUAUUGCAAAGGACUUUACAGUAAAUCACUGCAUUUAAUCUGCAUGAGUAACUAAAAAUCUGACAUCAGAAGAGUCUUUGUCAGGUCUCAGUCUAAACAUUAAGACUAUUUGAUCUACCUUUAUUUAAGAUGCCUUUUAUUUGUAAUAACAUUUAAUGUGAUAACUGUAACAUUGAAACAACUAACAUGCACAAAAUUUCAGAACAUUUAAAGACUAGAAAAGUAAACUGAUAAAUGACAACAUCUGCUGGCUCUGAGUGUGCAAGACAACUGAGCAUGUGGUAAAGUUAAAGGUAGGUAGUUGGUAGAGGUACGGACCCGUACUUUCCAUGACUCGAGAUUCGCGUACGGGUCCGUAUCUGUCUGGCAAAUGGAAAGUGCUGUAUCCGUAGCCCACAGGCUACGGGUCCGUAUCUGUAGACACUACCAAAGUUAAAAUGAUGCAUUUUCAGCAUCACAGUUGCAUUUCUUCAGCAACAGCGCCACCUACUGGACCACAUGAUUCAUAGUUUUUAACCAAAUAGUGACAUAAUUUUGCCAAUUACACAAUAUACCCAAUGUGCCUCGGCAGCCAAGAAAGAUAAGUUUUUGGUGGAAUAAAGGUUUAAACUAUUAAUUGUUAAACAGAAAGCUGUAUUUUGAAUGGAAAUAUCGGUUAAUACCAUAAGCUGUUGAACAGUACUGGAGGGUUAAAAUUCCCUCUUGGUACACUAAAAUACUCAAAUAAUAUCCAGUCCAAUAAUAAUAAAAAGCUGACUACCAACCAUGGUUAGCCCCCCCCCCCCAGAAGCACCAGAACAAAAAGAAGUUACUGAAAACUGUUUUUAUUUGUCAAAAAAGCUCCUUUACAGCGCCAAGAUUUUCAACCUGUAAAGUCAGCAAACAUGUAAAAUACAACCCUUACAAUACAUUAGAAUCAAACGGGUACCAAAAAGUACAGUAAAAAUUACACUUCCGGUGGAAAUGUGGAAGGAAGGGGGAAAAAAAAGAAGAAAAAAAACAACAAAGGGAAAAGUAAAACCUAAAAAUAAAAGAAUUUUUAAAAAAAAAAAGAAAAAAAAACACAUGGAAAAGUUAUAUUUCGGAUGUUUUCUGUACAAAUGGUCUUCUGUCAUAAAA